GAGAGUUUGAUCCUGGCUCAGGAUGAACGCUAGCGACAGGCUUAACACAUGCAAGUCGAGGGGCAGCACAGGUAGCAAUACCGGGUGGCGACCGGCGCACGGGUGAGUAACGCGUAUGCAACUUACCUAUCAGAGGGGGAUAACCCGGCGAAAGUCGGACUAAUACCGCAUGAAGCAGGGGCCCCGCAUGGGGAUAUUUGCUAAAGAUUCAUCGCUGAUAGAUAGGCAUGCGUUCCAUUAGGCAGUUGGCGGGGUAACGGCCCACCAAACCGACGAUGGAUAGGGGUUCUGAGAGGAAGGUCCCCCACAUUGGUACUGAGACACGGACCAAACUCCUACGGGAGGCAGCAGUGAGGAAUAUUGGUCAAUGGGCGUAAGCCUGAACCAGCCAAGUCGCGUGAGGGAUGAAGGUUCUAUGGAUCGUAAACCUCUUUUAUAAGGGAAUAAAGUGCGGGACGUGUCCCGUUUUGUAUGUACCUUAUGAAUAAGGAUCGGCUAACUCCGUGCCAGCAGCCGCGGUAAUACGGAGGAUCCGAGCGUUAUCCGGAUUUAUUGGGUUUAAAGGGUGCGUAGGCGGCCUUUUAAGUCAGCGGUGAAAGUCUGUGGCUCAACCAUAGAAUUGCCGUUGAAACUGGGGGGCUUGAGUAUGUUUGAGGCAGGCGGAAUGCGUGGUGUAGCGGUGAAAUGCUUAGAUAUCACGCAGAACCCCGAUUGCGAAGGCAGCCUGCCAAGCCAUGACUGACGCUGAUGCACGAAAGCGUGGGGAUCAAACAGGAUUAGAUACCCUGGUAGUCCACGCAGUAAACGAUGAUCACUAGCUGUUUGCGAUACAGUGUAAGCGGCACAGCGAAAGCGUUAAGUGAUCCACCUGGGGAGUACGCCGGCAACGGUGAAACUCAAAGGAAUUGACGGGGGCCCGCACAAGCGGAGGAACAUGUGGUUUAAUUCGAUGAUACGCGAGGAACCUUACCCGGGUUUGAACGCAUUUCGACCGCUCUGGAAACAGAGCCUCUAGCAAUAGCGAUUUGCGAGGUGCUGCAUGGUUGUCGUCAGCUCGUGCCGUGAGGUGUCGGCUUAAGUGCCAUAACGAGCGCAACCCUUGCCACUAGUUACUAACAGGUGAUGCUGAGGACUCUGGUGGGACUGCCAGCGUAAGCUGCGAGGAAGGCGGGGAUGACGUCAAAUCAGCACGGCCCUUACAUCCGGGGCGACACACGUGUUACAAUGGCGUGGACAAAGGGAAGCCACCUGGCGACAGGGAGCGAAUCCCCAAACCACGUCUCAGUUCGGAUCGGAGUCUGCAACCCGACUCCGUGAAGCUGGAUUCGCUAGUAAUCGCGCAUCAGCCAUGGCGCGGUGAAUACGUUCCCGGGCCUUGUACACACCGCCCGUCAAGCCAUGGGAGCCGGGGGUACCUGAAGUCCGUAACCGCGAGGAUCGGCCUAGGGUAAAACUGGUGACUGGGGCUAAGUCGUAACAAGGUAGCCG
rnacentral:rRNA from 1 species